rnacentral:rRNA from 1 species
AGCGAACGUUUGCGGCGGGCCUAACACAUGCAAGUCGAACGCACUAGCAAUAGUGAGUGGCGCACGGGUGCGUAACACGUGGGUAAUCAACCCUUCAGCCUGGGAUAACGACUCGAAAGGGUCGCUAAUACCGGAUACGGCGCGAGAGGCUUCGGCUUCUCACGAGAAAGCCACGCAAGGGGCACUGAAGGACGAGCCUGCGGCCCAUCAGCUAGUUGGUGAGGUAAGAGCUCACCAAGGCUAAGACGGGUAGCUGGUCUGAGAGGAUGAUCAGCCACACUGGAACUGAGACACGGUCCAGACUCCUACGGGAGGCAGCAGUGGGGAAUAUUGCGCAAUGGGCGAAAGCCUGACGCAGCCACGCCGCGUGAGCGAUGAAGGCCUCGGUCGUAAGAC